CUACCAAUUAAGAGAUGAUAUUGAACUUUAAUUACAAGUCAGAUGUGAAGAAAUUUUUUAGCAGUAAGUUCGUGGUAUAUUUCUUUCUUAGAGAUUUUUGGAAUAGACUAUCCCCAGCUUUUGGUGUAGGUAAAGUUGGAGAAAUUGCAAUUGAUUUGUUUUGAUGGGUUUUUUUUUCUCCCAUGUUUAAAAAAAUCCAUUUUAAAAUAGCAUUUCUACAUAUUUGGUCAUGGUUCUUUUUGUAUUAUAUCUUAAAAUAUUAUGCCUCCAUGAGAAAGAAAUCAGGAAAGCAAUCCUAUUCUUAAUUGGGGAAUGGAACCCUGGGAAUAAACCUCACCAAAAAAGUGAAAGGCCUCAACAAUAAAAAUUGCAAAGCAGUAAGCAGGACAUGGUGGUGCAUGCCUUUAAUCCCAGCACUAAGGAGGCAGAGUUACGCAGGUAUCUAUGAGUUCAAGCUAGCUUAGUCUAUAGAGCUCGUACCAGGCCAGCUAGGGCUACACUGUGAGACCUUAUCUAAGAAAUAAAAAUUAUGAAACACUGGAGAAAGAGACUGAAGAACAACAAGAUGGGAAAACACCACUGUAUGAAAGAGUUAAUAUUGUUAAAAUGAAAUAAUGUCAAAAUUGAACUACAUAAUGCAGACCCUGUGAAAGUACCUAUGACCUUCACAAAACUGGAAGAGAAAAAAAAAACCCUAAAAGUCUUAUGGAAACACAAAUGAUAUCAAAUAGCAAAAGCCAAUCCUAAGCAAAAAAGAGUGAUGGUGGAGGGGAGGCCUCAGAAUACCUAAUGUCAAAUACACUGACAAAGCCAAAGUAAUAAAAGCUUGAUAGUAUAGGAUUAGCAUAAAAAGAACACAGACCAAUAGAAUAAAAUUGGCAACCUAGAAAUAAACCUGUUUGUCUAUGCCAUCUUAUUCUUGACAAAACUGCCAAAAAAUAUAUAUAAGAAAAAAAGUCAUGUCAACAAACAAUGUUAGGAAACCUGAUUAUCCAUAUGUAGAAGACUAAAACAACAACCCUCUUACCAUUCAUUCAAUAUAGAAGGCAUCGAAAGGGCUAUGCAGCUCAGUGGUUAAAAGCACUGCCUGUUACUUGGUUUUAAUUCCUAGCACCCAUCUGGUUUACAACUGCUUGCUAGCCCAGUUCCAGGGGAUCUGGGCUCUCUGAGCACCAGACAUGUACAUUGUGCUCAGACAGAUAUACAGGUAACAGUUUCCUGAGUAAGACUCAAAACUUGAAUUAACCAAUGGGAUUCCAAGGCUUCUUACAGCAAAGUAAACAAUCAGGAUUAAUCACAAGUAAAGAUAUAGCCUGGAUCAGGAUGUGUCUGAAAUAUGUAAAGGACUCAAGAAACCGAAUACCAGAUGAGCACACAAUCCAGUCAGUAAAUAAUCUUCUUUGUGAUCACAAAGAGAUAGCAGUGGCCAAAGAAGAAUAGGAAGGUCCCAGGUGUCUGUGGCCAUCAGGAAGUGUAAGUUAGACUGCACUGAGACUUCCUCACCACAGUCAUCGAGGCUGUUGCUCAGGAAAUAAAAAAGGCCAACACGUGUGAGAGCAGAAAGGGGCCUUGUUCUCCACAGCUGGGUAGGAGGGUAAAUGACAUGGCUGCCAUGGAAAUGCUGUGAAGGCCUUUCAGACUAAAACACCACUAGCAUGGAAUCCAACAUCACUGCUUGGGAUAAACCAGAAAGUCCGAAUACAAAAGAGCUUACUUGCUUAUUGCUGCACUGCUCACAACAGCUAAGCAAUAGGAUCAGCCUGGACACCCAUCUUACUUAUCAGUCGACAAGUGGAUUAAAAAGUGUGAUAUAUAUAUAUAUACAUACAUACAUACAUACAUACAUACAUACAUACAUGUAUGUAUGUAUGUAGUAUUUGGCCAUAAUGAAUAGUAAGGCAUAUCAUCUGCAGGGAAAUGAAUGGAACCUGAAACCCAAACACAGACACCGCUUUGUCUGUUACAUGUGGAAGGUAGAGCUUGUAGUAGAGCACCUGAAGUAAGCAGGAUCUGCUAGGAAAGGCAAAGGCAAGGAGAUCAUAGAGAGGACGGUGGGAAAGGGCUGGACAAUGAUGACAAUAUAGUAGUAUAUAAGUAUAAAGGUUUUCACAGUUGAUACGAACUAAUAAUUAGAGGUUUUUAAAUGAUAAAACAAAGGGAGAGUUGGGCUGGCUUCUAAAGGUACACCAAAUGAAUUAGAGACUGACCUACGUUUUCUGUCACAUGUGUGGGUGUUUGCUUAAGCUCCCUUCAAUAGCAUCUUAAAAACCCCAUUUACAUUUUGACCUAGUAUGUAAAGUUUAAAAAUAAUUUUUUUAAUAUUCAAAAGUGUGAUUAUCCUAUAACUGAAGUUUUAAUUGUUCAGGUUGACAUGCGUUAUUUUGCACGUGUCUGUGAAUCAUCAGUUAAUACUGUUUUGUGGUUUUUCAUUCCUACCAGAGUUCUCAUAAAUCCUCCCUAGUCUUGAUUAAUACAAAUGAUUUUUUUUUGGCAACAACAAAUGUUAUCACUUCAUUAUUCAUCCCCUCUUCCAGAUUGCUAAUAAAUGUAGGCCGGAGGGGAUGGCUUAGUGCUCUAAGCAUCAGAUUUGAAAUACCUAGAGUCCCUGGAACUGCAGGUUUGAAUGUCAGCAGAGUCAACCCAGCUCAUCACUCUUCCAAGGUAGAUAAAUGGAGUUCCCUGCAGAGCACUGUGUGGGGUCGCUAGGGUGAGCGCUUUACCAACUGAGGUGGUUUAUGACUGAUACAAGGCCCAUGUGUCUCUCUAGAAGGAUGGGGGUCUCGAUCAGAGUUUGAACAGCAUUUCCCUCUGAGUUUGUUGUAUGGCUAUCUAUGUACUAGUUGACAUCCUGCUUCCUGGAGUUCUCAGAGCUCGUAUAGAAGUGCUGCAUUCAAUUUUUAAACAAUACCAGAACCUUUUAAAAGAAAAACUCUUCAACAGAAAUAAACUGUGAUGAUUGUGAAUGGCAGCUACUAGUCCUGUGGUUAUUCUGUUAGUAGCAUGUUUCUGUUUAUGACAGUUGGCCGUUGUAUGCUUGUUUCCUUCUUAGUUACCGAAGUCUAUAUGCAUGUGGGUGUGAUUGAGGCAUUUUAUACACUCUUCUUCUUUUUCUCCUUUAUGGUAGCCUUCUGUACGAAAGGGUGUUCUACCAAGAAUGCUUGAAGAAAUUUUGAAGACUAGAUUGAUGGUGAAGCAGUCAAUGAAGUCUUACAAGCAGGACAGAGCCCUGUCACGGAUGCUCAAUGCCCGUCAACUAGGACUAAAGCUGAUAGCAAAUGUCACGUUUGGCUAUACGGCUGCUAAUUUUUCUGGGAGAAUGCCGUGCAUUGAGGUAACACAUUUAAUAAGAGAGUAGUUACUGAAGUAUUUUGCUUUGUUACUAAACUUUAAAAUGUCAUUUCCAUGACAUACUAGUUUUUCUUAAAUUGGAUCUAUAAACAUGCAUCUUUUCUUAUUUCAAUAAUAAUUUUUAAAUUAUAUGCAUAUUUCCACAUUUACUAACAUAAGGUUUCAGUGCCAGUUUAUAAUAGUAUUUACAGUAAUUUUGAUACUAAAUAAUUCCUUUUAAUUUUGUUGUUGUUUUGUUUUGAUUUUUCAAGACAGAAUUUCUCUGGGUAGCCCUGGCUACCGUCGAUCUGUAGACCAGGCUGGCCUAGAACUCAGAAACCUGCCUUCCUCUCCCUCCCGAGUGCUGGGAUUAAAGGUGUGCAGCACCAUGACUGACUCCUUUUAAUUUGGUAGUUAGGUCCAAAUAUU
rnacentral:lncRNA from 1 species